rnacentral:rRNA from 1 species
AGAGUUUGAUCAUGGCUCAGAGCGAACGCUGGCGGCAGGCUUAACACAUGCAAGUCGAACGGACGUAGCAAUACGUCAGUGGCAGACGGGUGAGUAACACGUGGGAACGUGCCCUUCGGUCCGGAACAACCCAGGGAAACUUGGGCUAAUACCGGAUACGUCCGCAAGGAGAAAGAUUUAUCGCCGAAGGAUCGGCCCGCGUCUGAUUAGCUUGUUGGUGAGGUAACGGCUCACCAAGGCGACGAUCAGUAGCUGGUCUGAGAGGAUGAUCAGCCACACUGGGACUGAGACACGGCCCAGACUCCUACGGGAGGCAGCAGUGGGGAAUAUUGGACAAUGGGCGCAAGCCUGAUCCAGCCAUGCCGCGUGGGUGAUGAAGGCCUUAGGGUUGUAAAGCCCUUUCGGCGGGGAAGAUAAUGACGGUACCCGCAGAAGAAGCCCCGGCUAACUUCGUGCCAGCAGCCGCGGUAAUACGAAGGGGGUUAGCGUUGCUCGGAAUCACUGGGCGUAAAGCGCACGUAGGCGGAUUGCUAAGUCAGGGGUGAAAUCCUGGAGCUCAACUCCAGAACUGCCCUUGAUACUGGCGACCUUGAGUCCGGGAGAGGUGAGUGGAACUGCGAGUGUAGAGGUGAAAUUCGUAGAUAUUCGCAAGAACACCAGUGGCGAAGGCGGCUCACUGGCCCGGUACUGACGCUGAGGUGCGAAAGCGUGGGGAGCAAACAGGAUUAGAUACCCUAGUAGUCC